GAUGAACGCUAGCUACAGGCUUAACACAUGCAAGUCGAGGGGUAACGAGAGGAAAGCUUGCUUUCCUUGUCGACGACCGGCGCACGGGUGAGUAACGCGUAUCCAACCUGCCCCCAACUAGGGAUUAACCUUGCGAAAGUAAGACUAAUACCUUAUAAUUUCAUCAGAUGACAUCUGACGAGGAAUAAAGAUUUAUCGGUUGUGGAUGGGGAUGCGUCUGAUUAGCUUGUUGGCGGGGUAACGGCCCACCAAGGCAACGAUCAGUAGGGGUUCUGAGAGGAAGGUCCCCCACAUUGGAACUGAGACACGGUCCAAACUCCUACGGGAGGCAGCAGUGAGGAAUAUUGGUCAAUGGGCGGAAGCCUGAACCAGCCAAGUAGCGUGCAGGAUGACGGCCCUAUGGGUUGUAAACUGCUUUUAUACAGGAAUAAAGUUAGCCACGUGUGGUUAUUUGUAGGUACUGUAUGAAUAAGGACCGGCUAAUUCCGUGCCAGCCGCCGCCGUAACAC
rnacentral:rRNA from 1 species